UACGUAGGGUGCAAGCGUUGCCCGGAAUUAUUGGGCGUAAAGAGCUCGUAGGCGGUUUGUCGCGUCUGCUGUGAAAACCCGAGGCUCAACCUCGGGCCUGCAGUGGGUACGGGCAAACUAGAGUGCGGUAGGGGAGACUGGAAUUCCUGGUGUAGCGGUGAAAUGCGCAGAUAUCAGGAGGAACACCGAUGGCGAAGGCAGGUCACUGGGCCGCAACUGACGCUGAGGAGCGAAAGCAUGGGGAGCGAACAGG
rnacentral:rRNA from 1 species